ensembl:lncRNA
CAGGGUUAAUCAACAAACCGUAUAGUUUCCUAACUCUACUGUGUGCGUGUAAUGCAGCGCCCCCCAGUGGACAAGCUGCAAAACUACAAUACAGUACGGUGGCGCUGGUCACUGGGCGGAGAAAGAAACGCUUUUACAUCGAAACUGCAGCUGAGCACAUCCAUCCAUCGUCAACAAACGCUUGUCCCAAGCGGGGUCGCGGCAAGCCGGGGCCAACCCAGCAGCACAGAGCGGCGGGACGCCAGUCCAUUGCAAGGCACCCCAAGCGGGGCUCGAACCCCAGACCCCCCUCACAGUGGGCACCAGCUGAACCCACCGCACCCCCAAUUUCUCUGACUUUGCUGGAUUAUGUAAAGCACGUGCCUCGGUCACAAGACUUCGGCCGAGAAAAGAGGCACUUGAUCCCGGCAGAGAGGUUUGCGUGGUCUUCGGAAACGCACGGAAGUGCCAAAAACCCUCCCUAAAAUCACCUCACAGUGCACACCAUGGCGGUAGCCAAAAGGGACCAGUGCAAAAAUGACUGGGAGUCAAAGGUUUCCCAAAACACUGCAAAAGUUAGGACAUCAAAACAGUAUUUUGAAUCCUAGUUACACAUGUGUUUCAGAGCAGAAGUUCUCCCCUUUCUCAGGCCUUCAUGAAGAUGGGGUUAUAGUGGUUUAAGAACACUGCCGGUUCUCUCAGCUCCAUCCAGCGGUUCGAGGAAACCCCUCUCUUUAUCAGUUAUAUCACUGACACGCUAAGGGUAGCUAAAAGACUGCCGGAGGAGGUCCACACCUCAUUACCCACUGCCCAUCUCUGGCUAAGUUCGCAUCCUCCAUUCCAUUUCACGUAAGUGUACGUUUCUAUUAAAAUAAGCUGGAAACAUUCACAAAACAGAAUCACAGAUGCUGCAUUUCUGCUCCAUUUCUCCUCAUUUGCCGACACUGCAGCUGCAGCAUUAACCCUUUGCUUGCCUUUCAAAGCGGCCUUCUACUGGAUGUACAUAUGCAUCUGUCACAGACUGCAAACUACAGAUCCAUGUGUGCACAGGUUAAUCAGGUUAUUACUAUCUGAAAUAACCAACUAACGUGCCAUUGUUUUGCAUCUUGAGUUUAUCUUAUUGUUGUGGAACUAUGUAAGUGUCAUGCAUAAUUUGCUUCUAACUGUACACUUCAAUAUAUGUGGUACAAUAAAAAUAUGAUGUACUGCA